rnacentral:tRNA from 1 species
CUAUAGCUCAGCUGGAUAGAGCAACGGCCUUCUAAGCCGUAGGUCUGAGGUUCGAAUCCUC